rnacentral:rRNA from 1 species
GACGAACGCUGGCGGCGUGCUUAACACAUGCAAGUCGAACGAAGAGCGAUGGAAGCUUGCUUCUAUCAAUCUUAGUGGCGAACGGGUGAGUAACGCGUAAUCAACCUGCCCUUCAGAGGGGGACAACAGUUGGAAACGACUGCUAAUACCGCAUACGAUCUAAUCUCGGCAUCGAGGAUAGAUGAAAGGUGGCCUCUACAUGUAAGCUAUCACUGAAGGAGGGGAUUGCGUCUGAUUAGCUAGUUGGAGGGGUAACGGCCCACCAAGGCGAUGAUCAGUAGCCGGUCUGAGAGGAUGAACGGCCACAUUGGGACUGAGACACGGCCCAGACUCCUACGGGAGGCAGCAGUGGGGAAUCUUCCGCAAUGGACGAAAGUCUGACGGAGCAACGCCGCGUGAGUGAUGACGGCCUUCGGGUUGUAAAGCUCUGUUAAUCGGGACGAAAGGCCUUCUUGCGAAUAGUGAGAAGGAUAGA